UAGUGUUACAGCUCUUUAGGAAUUUAUCUAGCAGGUCUUCUGGUUGUCACUGGAAAUGCCCCC
ensembl:snRNA U7 U7 small nuclear RNA